rnacentral:rRNA from 1 species
AUUGAACGCUGGCGGCAGGCUUAACACAUGCAAGUCGAGCGAGCGGCGGACGGGUGAGUAAUGUCUGGGAACCUGCCUGAUGGAGGGGGAUAACUACUGGAAACGGUAGCUAAUACCGCAUACCAUCAGAUGUGCCCAUAUGGGAUUAGCUAGUAGGUGGGGUAAUGGCUCACCAAGGCGACGAUCCCUAGCUGGUCUGAGAGGAUGACCAGCCACACUGGGACUGAGACACGGCCCAGAAGCCUACGGGAGGCAGCAGGGGGGAAUAUUGCACAAUGGACGCAAGCCUGAUGCAGCCAUGCCGCGUGAGUGAAGAAGGUCUUCGGGUUGUAAAGCACUGUCAGCGAGGAGGCGUUACUCGAAGAAGAAGCACCGGCUAACUCCGUGCCAGCAGCCGCGGUAAUUC